GCAGGGCAGGGCGCGAACCUGGGCCCCGGCCCCCUCCGUCGCCUCCCGCCCAUCGCCCCCGGCCGCGCCGCAAUCCACAUUCCCGAAAGUCUGCCGGGGAGGGGCGCUCGGAGGCCGCGUGCGGGCGGGCCUCACGUGAGCCUUGUGCCCUGUCCCGCCAGUCCUCAUCAAAGGCGUUUAUUUGCCACCCCUGCCAUGUGCUAGACCCUGUGCCAGGGACCCAACAGUGCUCCAGACCUGUCCACUGGAAGGGACAAGUGAUCGUUCCUUCCCCUGCCCCUGGGGCUCAUGUAAGGCCGCCGGGUGAUGCUGCUUUGUGCUGUGGCCCUGGCUUGCACGUCUGCUCCCCCACUGGGUUACAAAGUCUUAGAGAGGAGCACACUUCCUUCCGUCAUUCGGUCAUCUGGCCUCUUGAGUUUCUCAAGUUCAUUUCGGAACCAUGGUUACACAGGACUGAAAGACAACCCCUCCGCCUAAAAGGGGCAUCUUUCACACCCCGGAUUCACACAGC